GGUGACGGCGGCGCCCAGCGGCGGGGCGGUGCCGCGCCGUGCGGCCCUGCCGUGAAGCGGCGCGCUGUUACGACAGGGCGCGCGGCCGGGGAGCCCCUGACCUUCCCCUCCGCACCGGGGGACCCAGUAAGUGCCCCCGCAAAUAGCCCCGUCUGGGUAAAUUAAAGACGCAAGCAAUCACGCAGGGCUGCAGAGUUCGGGGAAAUGGGAGAAUGGCCAGCUCGUUACGAGGGGAAGUGCUGAAUCUUUACAAAAACCUGCUGUACCUCGGAAGGGAGUACCCCAAGGGAGCAGACUACUUUAGAAGCCGUUUGAAAGCAGCUUUUCUAAAAAAUAAAGAUGUGAAAGAUCCCGAAAAAAUCAAACAGCUAAUUGCCCGAGGAGAAUUUGUGAUAAAAGAGUUGGAGGCUUUGUACUUCCUCAGAAAAUACAGAGCAAUGAAACAGCGCUACUAUGAUGACAAGGAGUAACCGGUAUUAAUGACUAUAACUAAAUUACACUGGAGAUGGAACAGAAAUAAUCUUUGAAAUAUAGGCAUUGCUAGUUCAAGAACCAACACUCAAAGAAUACUGGCACUUUAAGAGGAAUGAAGUUUCCACUGUCAUUUAAAACAAGCAUUCAGAAGGCAUCAUCAACACCCUGAAAAAACACAGAGGUGCACACAUUAAGAUCACAUUAACAGACUUAAUUGUCUAGGUAAGUACAGUCUGUUUUCAUCUGACCAGAUGAAGUGACUUCAGGUGAAGUGUGUUCAAUCAGCACUGUUGCUGCCUGCCAGGAGAGCUGACACUGUCUUCUUGCCGAAGCCUUUACAACAUCCCUAAAUCAAGCUGUGCAUUGGAGGAAUUGCUGGGGCACCAACACCCUCUCGAGCAUUUCUAGAUUUUGGAAAUGGGCACCUUGGGAAAAAUGGAUUGAGAUGGAUGGGGGACUACAGUUGUCUCCUGUCACAUGAGAUGCAUGUCUAACUGCAUCACGUCUAACUGCAUCACUGUACAUGGGCAGCAGGGCCCACAGGAGAGCAGCUCUAGGCAACAGCCAGCCAGUCAAGCAUUUGAACAAGUCCUGGCUACAGGCGUUCCUCUCCUGAGGUCUGAGGAACACUAAGACACCCAAAUGAACUAUUCUGACACCAGCAACAGCUAGCAUCAUCUGCCUGCCCUUUCUCUACUAUUCCCAAGCUGGACUUAGAGCAGCCUGCGGGUGAGUUACUGCCCAGGAGCUGACCACAGACAUCUGCAGAUACAACUCCGUUAAUAAUGUGACUCGGGAACAUGUACUGCUCUCCUGUCCACAUAGGUGGGGCAUAUGUUGUCCCACCUCAGACUAGAAAAGCACAGGUACCGCAUCUUUAGAUUCCAAGUAUAUUACUGCUACUAGAUUUCAGAAUAAAACUCUGAAGCAUUAGCUACCUUUGCUUAUGCCUUAAUAAUCUACAUGGCUUUUAAAAGUAACUAUAACUAUUUGCAGCAAUAAUUUGGUACCAAAGAGAUAGUUAUGAUUAAUCUACAUAUUCAUGUCAUUUGUCAUGCACACUAAUACAGUAAUCACACCAUAGUGUUGUUUUGUUGUUUUUUCUUAAUCGUCAGAUAAGCAAGACAAUCAAAUCAAUCCCGCAUUGCAAUGAUAGAUUAGUAUUUGAUAAAUCAUUCCAUUCAACCUAUAUGAAGACACAUGAAACACAUUAGCUGUGUAUUCUAUCACGUACAGUCAUUUAAAAUCUCCACAGCUCCAACAGUCAAGCUACAGACACAAAUGCUAAUGUUUCUUCACACUAAGUAACUUCUCCACUUUGGGGGAGGGGAUAAUUAUAACUGAGGAAAAUUAGCUGUUUUGACCAGAAAUCUGUAUGCCUGAUGUGAACCAUAAUCAAGUAGAGUGUUAUAAAGUAUACUUGUAUACAUACUUGAAAUGACCUAUUUAUGUGAUACAGUUUAUUUAUAUUAUUGCCUACCUUUCAGGUUGCCCCAAAUCCCAACUGAGUAUCUGCGUUCUCAGUAAGCCCUUUACAUUUAAUACUGAUAGUUAUAAAAAAUACUAAGAAAAACUUAAUUUUUCACUGCCUUACUCCUUGCGUUAUCUUUUAGAUAUGUCAGAAGUAAUUGUGUAAUGUUAAUGCAUCACAGUAGCCAACUGCACCACUAUAGAAACUGAUCUAGAAAUUUGGCCCUACAACUGACAGGCAGCUUUCUACCUCUUCUCAGCUAGUUUGCCUUCAAGCUGACAAUUAAAAUCAAGUCUUAGUUUAUUCCUGUAUACCUACUUCAGCGGAAGAGCAUAAAGUGAACUCCAAAAAAAGGGCAAAAAUAAAAUGUCAAAAAAUCAGCUUAUUCAUUGCUGUUUCAGUCAACUACCAAAUGGUGAUGAAAACAUUAUAUGUUAAGUCCAAAUGACAGUGAGAUGUUAACUAGCUACACCUAGAAAGCAAUGCUUCCAGUAUAACAAAUUUAUUAAAAGUUUUCAUGUGUCAAGUUUAUAAACAUGUUUACAAAUAACUAAUGUUAGAUCAAAGUCCUUAGUAGCUCUACCACCAAAACUAAUAGUACACUAUGCAACAUCUCAUGACAUAUAAAAUACUCUUGCAAUUAAGUUUCUCUUAGUUUUAAAGUGCUAUUUGUCAAAAUAAAAUUGAUGUACCACACCUAGCAAAAGUACCCACAGUUCUGGAAAAGGUUAUGUCUUUUGAAAGUUAGAAAAGCUAGGUAUUAUUUCAUAGACAGCUACUUUAUUUUACUUAUAACUUCAGCAUUAUUGCACAAAGUAUAUUUGGCAAUGUUCAUGUAGGGAAAUGAUCUACAAAUAGCAAUGGUUCAAAGCAUAUCUUCUGCAGUUCUCAUCUCAGACAGCCAACUAGGAGGAAAGUAGUAAUCAUCAGUCACAAUAGAGAACAGUUUCAUUCUUAGAACAACAAGAAAAACUUCUGUACAAUAUUCAUCUACAGGACUAUUCAUAUUUCCUUACAAAACUACUUUAGCACUUUUUACUGUGCUAGAAAAGCAUUCAUUACAAGGACAGUUGUUAGCCCUAAGUGGCAUCUUCUAAGACAAACUAAACAGAAAUUGAAAUUGAAGUCUUCAAGUAAGCAGUCUACCUUCCUUAAACUAUAUUUUGAGUAAAUACAGAGAAAGCAACUCAUACAAAGUAAUAUUGUGGGCCUUUAAUCACAGGACUUCACAACUAAGGUUGAAAUCUUAUUCUAUCUAGUAAGGUGUUGAUCUUUUAAAUACACUGCAUGUUGCAAAAUACUUGUGAAGAACAACUUUCAUCCUUGCAUUUACACCUUUGUAACGCAAGCUUUUAAAGUUAUUAAUGACAUAUAUACUAGUUUCUGUAUUUGAACAGAAAUUCCUUUUAAAGUUAGGUAAUAUAACAUACAAAGCAUUUAGAAUAUUUGUGUUAGGACUGAGGGAUUCAAAAUAAGCUGAUCUUUCAGUCUGUGGAUUAAACGUUAAAAAUGAAAUUAGAACACAAGUGGAAACUCUGUUUAGAGAAAUUCCCUAAAGGCAUCAAUACUACAAAAUCAAAUGUGGUCAGCUUCCCCAGUUACUUUUUUCAGUAGCAAUGGACAGCAUGCAGCUGACUUUUCUCCCUCUAACAAUGGAGUUAUUGUGCACAAACUUUUCAGGAAGCGUAAGAUGUACUGAAUGAAUGAGUGCUUUAAAUCCAGGCUUAGGAUUAGAAACUCAAAAUAUAUGAUGUAUGCUCUGAGCUCUACCACACAGCCACAAUAAAUGUAUAUUUUCUCUGAAAAACAGAGGCUGAGAGUAGGUUACUGCAUACAGUACAGAGCUUGCUCUUGACUCUUGUUUUUCCAAAGAGCAUCUAAGAAACAUGAAAGGAACAGAAAAAUCCCACUGUUCCUGCAGAAACAACUUGAUCCUGGCUACAGCUUCUCUUUGGGGCACCACAGUUCUAUCAUCCUUUGGCCAUACAGAAAUCUGGAUGUCUGGUUAUGUGGUUACAGGCAUGUGUGCGACUUGGCAAGUAAGCUGGAUCUAUCAAUAAGAAACCAUAAAAUCAUAAGGAAUUAGGAUUCCUAAAGGACUGCAGCCUCAAAAAGAUCUUUACAAAAGUUUAAAAUCGUGGAAGAGUCUUUUAAAUAUAUUUAAUAAAUACUACAACACACACACAACAGUUGUGAGAAAGUUAACAUGUAUCUCUCUGUAGUUCCAUGGAAAAAUCAUUAAAUUACUUUUAAGCAAAAAUCUAGAAGUUAAUGAACUUUCAUAAAUUAAGUAUUUUUACUAACACAGCUCAAUCUGAAUUGCUUGUCUAGAUGCUUAAUUUAUACCAUAGAGUAGCUUUUCAUUAUAGUAUGUUUUUUUUAAAUGUAAAAACUUCUUAAUGCUUUCGAGAGAGAAAUCAUUUGGGAUCUUACACUGAGUUUCAGAAUUUUCUCCUUGCUUGUUGGAAAUGAAAAAAAGGUUUUGUGUACUUUCUGCUUUGUGUAACAACCAAAGGAAUUAAAAUAUUGGAAAGUGUCAGCAGUUAAUAAUAAUCUGGGUAGUACAAGGUUGCUCAAAACUUUGACAAGAUCGAAGUAACUAAAAAGGCACCUUGUAAGCGGCAAUAAGAUAACUGAAUAUUCCUAGAGGUACCAAAAUGCUCUGAACCAUCAAAUUUGACUACCCACAGACAUGAAAGGAAAAUAAAUACUGUGCAUCACUUCAAAGCGUGCUAUAGUGAGUAUUUCUGAAGUUUUGAAUACCAGCUGAAAAACUUGCAUCAUUAGGUGCUGCUCUCCUUAGCUUUUCUACUAUACAGCAGACUGAAAUAAAAUACAUAUGUCAUGGAAUGGGAAUUAAUACAAGCCAGAGUGUUUUAAAUGCUGGACUUCUUAUGCCACUAGAAUCACUACUAAAUUACAGCUGUACCACAAGAAUUUUGGAGUACGCCUCCUCCAGCUUAACCUCCUGCAUAUGAAGUUGCUGAAAUGACUAUCAAUACUUUGAAGAUUUUUAAAGGAAUUCAUUUGAGUAUGAAGAUGAAUGUCUUCUCUCCUGAGCAGGCACUCUGCAAGUUCUACAGUCUUGUAUCCAAGACUAUUUUUGAAAUAGGAUAUGGAAAAAAGAAACAAUAUCCAUUGCUGACAGAAGAGAUUUCCCCUGAUAUGGGGAAAAAAUAAGAUGACAUACUUCUUUUGGAAGCAGGCAGAAAGAAAAUAGAAAGCAGGUAAAAAGAAAGCAUACAUCCCCUGAGCUAUAUUAAAAAAAAAAAAAAAAAAAAAAGAGAAUCCCAGAAUCUGAAAAA